rnacentral:lncRNA from 1 species
UGGGUUAAUAGCCGGCUAGAUGAAAGUCGUCAGCCUUGAAAGGCAAUUCAUAUAGGAGAGGAAAACUCUGAUAUAAAAUACCGGGUAGAUUUGACUCGUCAGCCUUGGUCGGCAAUGGAUCUAUAGGAAAGAAACCUUGAGUAAAGAUUCUCUGGUUCUCCAGGUUGGGGAUUGAGCGUUAGGCCAACAACCUAUCCUUGUAAAAAAAACUUUAAAGUUACAGAAACGCGAAAU